UGGAAACUGGGCACGCCUGCCCUCUGACCUGGGCUCCAGCAGGUGACCAGGUGUGGACAGAGCACCUGCACCCUCUGUAACCUCUUAUGUGAGCCUGCGUCUUUUUCUUCGGCAACAGACCUAGUGUAAGAAGAUGGAAGUAGGCUGGGAAGCUCUUUGUCAGUAUGGAUAUGAUCGGCUGAAUGGCCUGUGUUGUAAAUUUUCUGAUUCCUAUAAAUAGAAUCCAAACUGCAACCUUCAGGAGAAAAUGGCUCACAAUAAAGGGAGAGGACCAGAACUGGUGGAGAACUAGCAUACAUCCAGGACCUUGGCGAGAUGGAGCUCUAAGCAGUAGUUACAAUCCAGGCAUGCAGAGAAAAGAGCAUUGAUAAUAUGGAGGCUAGAAACCAUGCUCAGCACAGGAUCUGCUUAUUACUUGAACCCUUCCUCCUUCUUUAAGAAAUUGUUUUAUUCAGGCAGCAUGGCAACCUGAUGCUGGAUAGUGUUGCCAAUCACCUUCUACUAUCCUUUCUGUGUCAAAUUGCCCCUUGUC